rnacentral:lncRNA from 1 species
AUGCAGAGCCUCAGCGUUUGGUCCUUUUUCCGCCUGAACAACACAGGCGCCCCUAGAGGGGAAUUUGAAGGCUCUAUGAAACCCCUCGCUAGGUUUUUAUCAAUGUAUUUUCUCAGUUCCUCCUUUUCCCUAGCUGACAUCGGGUAUAUUUUUGCCUUGGGAAGCUCUGCUCCUGGGACUAGCUCUAUUUUCACUUCAACUCUCCGCUUCGGUGGGAAAUUGUCUGCUUCCUUCUCAUCAAACACGUCCACAAAAUCCCGAUACUCUGGGGGUAAUUUAUCUGCCAGUUCUGCUAUUCUGAUAGAGUCUUCCUCCCCCCUUUUCCCUGGCUCCCUCUCAACUUCCUGGCUCCCUUCUUCCAAAUUCAUCCUGAAGAUCAUGCUCUUAUCCUCCCAGUUGUAAGAACACAACCACAACACAAAACCACAAUCCGGACCCACAAAACUCACAACAACGCAUCAUGACUAUAACAACACAACUAAACGCCCCAGAAAUACAAAACUUGGCAAAACAAUGCAAAAGCCUUGCCUCCCGGUUGUAACAACACAACCACACCACAAAACCACACCGGACCCACAAAACUCACAACAAUGCAUCGUGACUAUAACAACACAACUAAACGCCCCAGAAAUACAAAACUUGGCACACAACUAAACGACCCAGAAAUACAAAACUUCGCAACACAACACAAAAGCCUUGCCUCUCAGUUGUAACAACACAACCACACCACAAAACCACAAUCCAGACCCACAAAACUCACAACAACGCAUUGUGACUAUAACAAAUACAACAUUUGACAACACGACUCAUCCACCUCCCCAAUCCCUACAUUCACACUUGGCCUCCAAAAAAACAAUUACAAUAAUAACAAUGACAACAACAACAACAAUAAGAAUCAACACCAUCACAGACAAGAAACAGCCAGGCACUGAGGCUGAGAGGCCAGUCAGUGCUAAACUGGCCCUCCAAAAAACAAUACAGUAGCAUCUAACUUAUCCAACCUUCAUAAUCACUACAACAACAAUAAUAAUAAACACCUACACAGGCAAAACAAAAUAAAAGACUAUUGUACCACAAUAAAAAUAUAAACCGCACUCAGCAGAAUCAGACAUUACAAUUAACAACAAACCAAAGACAACAGGGAUCUCAAGCAAUUAUCAAUCAACACAAAAAUUGAAGAAGGUAACAGACUUCAAAUACUACUACUAAUGUGAGUAUAAAGAAGGGUGGAGGUCACAGCAUCAAUACAACCUAAUGUAGACUGACCAACACCACCAGACUAAGCCACAGCAACGCGUGGCCGGGCACAGCUAGUUUUAUAUAAAAUGCAACACUGUAAAAAAGCUUUUUUCAUACUGGAGGAAACCUUUCUCAACUGUAAAGAUCACCAAAGGCCAGGGAAAAUGCAGAUGGAGCAAAUUAAAGAAUCCCUUGCAGAUUAUAAGGGUGUGCUCUGCAUUAUCCGUCGGUGCUCUUUGCAAGGAACCAAAUCCUUCCUGAGGGCAAAGCAGGCCUUGGCUGUAAAAAGGCUCUUUCAGUUUGUUUUUGAACUUUGGCUACAGAAAACCUGGUUCGCUUUAAUGUGAAAUCUCAGCUUCAAGGAAGACUUUUCCUGUCAACGUCAUACAGCUAAGAACUGAGGGAUGUCUUGUUGCCACAGUUACUUUAAUCUUCUGCCGCUGGGUGCAUUAGUUGCCAGCACAGCUGCUUUAUCUGACUUUUACCACAAAAUAUUUUAUACUAUGUAUCCAUGUGAGGAAAAAGAAGAAUAAAAUAAAAGAAUUAAAAGGCCACCACCAAUAUCCUACAUCUCCUUUUUAGUUACACAUUCAUAACUAAAGUAACAUCAUCUGGCCCACUCCAACCCCCAAACUUACCUUAACAGCCAGCAGCCACAGCAAGGGAUGGAGAUAAGAAUUGGGGUUCAUGAGAAGGAUGUUAUGGCCCCCUCUUACCAAUGAAUAAGACUGCAAUAAAGUAUUGUGACAGGAGGCCUGUUUCUGAUUGUCACACCAGAGAUAGCCAGUGAGAGAGAGCUGGAAAUGUCAUCCUCCUGCACUUCAAUCAGCAGCAGCAUAGAUUUCUAUCACUGCUAGUUAUGAUAGUGGCAAUAGUAUAAUUGUGAAUACAUUGACUGAAUAUGGAGCAAGCUUAUACAUUUGUAAUAGCAAUAGAUGAGUCCAGUGUCCCUGGUGUCUUGUGGCUCCCCUUGUCAAUGGGGCACUGAAUCCAUUGCAGUAUUUUUAUCUACUAAAGAACCCUUUCUCUCAGAAAUAGAUUCAAUAUCUCGAUUAGCUCCCUUAUAAUUGAAACUAGAAGAGCAGAUUUACUUGCCCUCAUUGACACAGAGGCCACUACCUACUACUGAUAACUACAGGUUGAGCUUCCCUUAUCCAAAAUGAUUAGGACAUGAAAUUUUUAGAUUUCAGAUUUAUUUAUUUUUUGUAUACUGGAAUACUUUUAUUUGCAUAUAUGGGAUAUCUUGGAGAUGGGGCCCAAGUCUAAAGACAAAAUUCAUUUAUCUUUCAUAUAUACCUUAUAUACAUAGCUAAAGGUAAUUUUAUACAAUACUAGCUGUGCCCGGCCACGCGUUGCUGUGGCUAGUCAGACCACAGGGAUCUUUUGCUGUGUGUAUGUGUUUUCAAGUCAUCUGUUGACUUAUGGCAACCCCAUUAAUUUCAUAGGGUUUUCUUAGGCAAGAAAUAUCCAGAAGAAGUUCUGCCAGUUCCUGCCUCUGAAAUAUAGCUGUGUACCGCAAUGUCAUGUGUAAUCUUUCAAAUGCUUAUGAGACCAAGGUGUCUGCUGCUCUCCAAGGUCCUGUACCUCAAUUCUUAUAUUUGGCUCAGCCACUGAUGCACGGCACACCUAUUUGACCUAUGCAUUUCAGCUUGGAACAUCUUACAAGGUUGUCAUAAGGACUGCAAGAAGAUUGUGCACAUGUAAUGCUUUGCAAGUAUGAUAUAAAUGCUAACCAUUAUUCCAGCUCACAAAGCACACAAUAAAGCUAUCAGCUUCCUACUCUGACCUG